rnacentral:snRNA from 1 species
UCGAGUGUGAGCAUGCCU